CAGGGGGCGCUGCGGGGCCACUCGCACGGGCCUGGCCUGGCAGAGAGGCGCCGCUCUAGGCUGUAGCCGACGCGAGGCCGCAGUUCCGCAGAGACUGCGGAGCGAGAACUCAGUCCUCCUGCUCCGUCCCGGUCUACAGCCUGUACUCAUGCUGUGCUCUGUGUACCCUGCUGCCUUCCGUCCCGGCAUCCGGCUAAGUCACUCAGGGCGUGCUCUGCGCAAGGCUCCCAAGUACGGCGCAGGGAAACUGAAGCAUCUACUCGCCGGGGCCUCAGCCUCCCGCGGCUCGCGUGUUCCAGGCCUUGGUCGCUCCGGGCUGACCGUCCCUGAGCGGUGUCAGAGGCGCCUUUGCCUCCCGAGGUCACCCUGUCUGGUCGGAGACCACACGCCCCGUGGUCUCUCACGCCCGCUUCCCGGCCUCGGAGCUGUGGCAUUCUAAGCCCGGAAUUUACUUGUCGCUUGUCGACACGGGGUCUGUGUUGUGUUGUGUCCUAGAUCAGUUGACUGAUUUUCACCAAAAGCCUUCCAAAGCCAGGUCUAAAACUUCCUUUUUGCACAAUCUGGCCGAGGUUUCGGUUGAAGACUCUCCCGAGGCCGUAGGGUACAGCGUCCAAACUGCCCUCUCUUGCACUGAAGCCCCUUCCUCUUCUUUCCCCUGCUUAGACCUUGCUGUUGAGCCCAAUGGAAACUACCCUGUGGCGGCGCUGCCGGUUCUGCAACAGCCAGCGCCCCCGCUCUCCCCGCCCCACGGACCGGAUGUCCCGAGGUGACAACUUGGUGUAAAUGGGUCAUGAGAGGUGUCCAUCUUGCCAGGAAGCAGCUGGACCAUGGUGCUCCCGAGUGAGGUGUCCCGGGAGUUGUCCUGUCAGGAACACCUUAGACCCCAGUGUCAUUGAGGGCCUAUGGCGAGGCAGAAAUGUCAUUGGCAGAAGGCCUGGUGGAGGAAAGCUGCUUACUUCAUCACAGCCAAGAAGCAGAGAAAGAAAGAAAAAGCCAUGGGGAGGACUUUGAGGUUGAGGUGAGCAAGAGCUCCCAAGUCCUGCUGGGUAGACUGAUGGGCAGGCCAGUAAUGACAGCAAGAAGGAUGGCAGCUAGGGUGGUCCUUUGGGACCUCGAUGGGAGGAGCUCUAAGGGUGAGCUCUUAUGGGAGGAAGGAGUAGGGCACAAAGUAUACCCCUCCGAGCCACACCCACAGUGACCUGUUUCAUCCAGUUAGGCCCCACCUCCUAACAAACCCAUUCAACUCAUUAAUUCAUUAGUGGAUUGAUCCACUUGAUGAUGAUCCAGACCCUUUUAAAAGCCCAUCAGCUGGCAGCCAAGGCUUCAACACAGUGAACCAUCACAUUAGCCUUUAGUGGCUCCUGUAAAAGUAAAACCUCCAGAGUAUCACUUGGGCAAUAAGAGUCUCCCAGUUGUCUGCCCUCCCUGCCUGGCUGUCUGCAGCAGCAUGCUGUAAUGCAGAAUGGGUGGAUCUGGGCAUGAGAAUCUCCUUCUGCCAGUAUCUCAAUCAAAGAUCAGCUCAACCCAAUUUUCUUGAUUUGAAAAAUAAAGUGAUAAAUAUUUUUCCAGGAUUUCUACCCAAGUUGACUUUUUUUUGAUUCCCUGUGGCAGAGAGGUUCUUUGGGGAUUUUGCCACUAUCAGAGUCCUGUGCUUCACUGGGCUGUUUUCCUGUACUCGACCCAUUCCACAGGCCACUGGCACCCCCGUCUCUUCCAGGGCCGGCCACUCUCUGGUGUGUGCACCUGCAUUCGAAAGUGAUCAUGGGCUGCCUGUGCCCUGGUCAUCAACAAAGCAGGGAGAGGAACCGCUGAAAGCCGUUUCCCGUGUUUGCAGGGUCCAGCCUGUCCCUUGCAAAUGCUGGCGCUUUCGCACACUUCUUUCCUGCCAACACAUUCCAGUUUCAAGAGCCUUAAGGGCUGCUGUGUAAGGGUCAGUGAUGGGAGACAUUUUGUCUUGCUUGGCCUCUCUAUCUAGUGAAUAAGUGAGAUGUUGGGUGAUACACAGUCAUUACCACAGGAUUUUCAAAGAGAAGUGGCCUUUUGGAAGUGGUGGGUCUGGGCAGGCCUUGGAAGGGGUGUGAUAUGAGAGAUAUUCUGAGGGGCGGGAAUCAUGUGGAGGACUUUGAGGUUGAGGGAUGCUGCGCUGGAACUGGAGAUUGCUGAAGGAAGGCCCUGGAAUAGAGGCACUGACCCUGUCAGGAUGAUGAAUGGGGUUCCUGCUCUGAAGGGAUCUCCUCAUGUUGGUUGUGGUGUUGAUUGUGGACACUGGCAUAGCAGAGUGAAGAGUGUCAUUGUCACACGACGCAUUCCAGACCUUAGUGCAGUGGCCUCAGCACAACACAGAGCACCUUUUUACUCUGCAUGAGCAAGCGGAGGGGAAGGCCUGGACUCUGAGGACUUGGGGUCCAGAGGUGGAGACCUUCCAGCUGGUUCUACCCCAUCCCAGCAGAGCCACAGAGCAUCAUAGACGGGAAGACCAGUCUUCCUUCAACUGGCCACCUCCAGUCUUGCCUACUCCUGGUGUAACUUGUAGACCCAAGAGAUCCUGGUGAAGUUUUCUAUACCCUGCACAACCUCAAUAAAUUGUCCACCUCAAUAAAUUUUGAAACAUGCUGUGCUGUGUAUUUUUUGGGUUUUGUUUGUUUACCAAAAUACCCAUGUGUACCAGCUAGGCUGGGUAUAGAGAAGGUAGUCACAGGGUGAAUCUUCCAGUUUUCACUUACUGAGAAUUCCCACUUAGCAUGCUCCUAAGUGGGAUGUGACCUAGGGAAUUUGAGGUAGGAGGUAGGAUUUGGACUAGAGGUUGAACAAUGCCACAUGCAUCUGGGGGCUCAGGCUUAGGAGAGAAGAGAACUGUUAAAACUAAGUUGCCUGAGCAACAUUUGGGCCAGGGAUUUGGAAGAGAAGAUGAUAAUGGGUGGAUGAAGAGAUGGAGAUGGUCUGAAGUCCUCAAGAAAGACAGGAGUGUUCUGAGCUUGAUGGCAAAAGUAUACCAUGCUCUGGAGUGAAUUUAGGAAAACGGUUUUGAGCAAAGGUAGGAG
rnacentral:lncRNA from 1 species